CACGUAGGGCGCGAGCGUUGUCCGGAAUUAUUGGGCGUAAAGAGCUCGUAGGCGGCCUGUUGCGUCCGCUGUGAAAGCCCGGGGCUUAACCCCGGGUCGGCAGUGGAUACGGGCAGGCUAGAGGUAGGUAGGGGAGAAUGGAAUUCCCGGUGUAGCGGUGAAAUGCGCAGAUAUCGGGAGGAACACCGGUGGCGAAGGCGGUUCUCUGGGCCUUACCUGACGCUGAGGAGCGAAAGCGCGGGGAGCGAACAGG
rnacentral:rRNA from 1 species